rnacentral:rRNA from 1 species
AUGUUUAUCGACCGUGUUAAUGCGGUUUUGACCAAGCACAGCGGCAGGGCUCUUGACCAACUUGAGAUUAAAUUUAUAUUCGAGGCCAAGCUUGUUGAUCACCUCAAUAAUUGGAUUAGAUUUGCUAUGUCAGCCCACACAAAGAGUCUAGCUUUUGAUUUGGCGCCACCGGACAAUUUUCCCAAAUAUGGGGAUCAUUACAGAUUCCCAUUUGAACAAUUUACAGACAAGAAAAGUGUAUCCUGUCUAGCGUGUCUUCAACUCAGCUUUGUAUGUUUCGAACCACCUCCUGCCAAUUUCAUAGGUUUCCCAAACCUAAGAAAGCUUCAUCUCCAUGUACUCAAGACCACUAGGCAGGAUCUUGAGAGUAUCUUGUGCAGUUGUGUUAAUCUUGAAUGGCUGAGCUUACUCAGAUGCCAUCUCAAGGAUCAAAUGAAGGUGGUUCGGCGGCCAUUGUCCCACCUGCACUACUUGAAAGUCGUGCACUGUGAUAUAACCAAGAUAGAGUUCAAUGCUCCAAUGCUCUCCACCUUUGUUUAUGAUGGACCAUACAUACCUAUUACCCUCCAUCAUGCUGCGAAGCUGGAAAAUGCAACAAUUAGGUUCCUCGGCGCAGUUUUUCAGCAUUGUAUCGCGUCACUCCUCAAUGGGCUACCAGAUGUACACAACCUGACACUGCAUCUUGGAAUGCAAGAGCUUGAGGCCCGGUGGAUGUUAAAUAGCCCUCGUGUGUUUUCUCACCUUAGGCAUGUGCAAAUACUGUUGAUUAUACAUUAUGAAGAAUAUGACAAAAUCCUCUACUUAGUUUCUUUUUGA